rnacentral:misc_RNA from 1 species
AAGUCGUAACAAGGUUUCCGUAGGUGAACCUGCGGAAGGAUCAUUACAGAGUUCAUGCCCUAACGGGUAGAUCUCCCACCCUUGAAUACUAUACCUUAGUUGCUUUGGCAGGACGUGGAAACACCACCGGCUUCGGCCUGUGAGUGCCUGCCAGAGGAAAUCAAACUCUGUUUUUAGUGAUGUCUGAGUACUAUAUAAUAGUUAAAACUUUCAACAACGGAUCUCUUGGUUCUG